UGUGUGUUGUGGUGUAGGUCUGUGUGUGUUGUGGGGUAGGUGGUCUGUGUGUUGUGGGGUAGGUGGUCUGUGUGUGGUUUUGUGGUGUAGGUGGUCUGUGUGUGGUGUAGGUGGUCUGUCUGUGUGUUGUGGUGUAGGGGUCUGUGUGUGUUGUGGUGUAGGGGUCUGUGUGUGUUGUGGUGUCGGUCUGUGUGUGUUGUGGUGUAGGUCUGUGUGUGUUGUGGGGUAGGUGGUCUGUGUGUUGUGGGGUAGGUGGUCUGUGUGUGGUGUUGUGGUGUAGGUGGUCUGUGUGUGUUGUGGUGUAGGUCUGUGUUGUGGUGUAGGUGGUCUGUCUGUGUUUUGUGGUGUAGGGGUCUGUGUGUGUUGUGGUGUAGGGGUCUGUGUGUGUUGU